rnacentral:rRNA from 1 species
CUAAAAUGCACAGGUCGUGAGUUCGAUGAGUAGGGCGGGACACGUGACAUCCUGUCUGAAUAUGGGGGGACCAUCCUCCAAGGCUAAAUACUCCUGACUGACCGAUAGUGAACCAGUACCGUGAGGGAAAGGCGAAAAGAACCCCGGCGAGGGGAGUGAAAUAGAACCUGAAACCGUGUACGUACAAGCAGUGGGAGCACCUUCGUGGUGUGACUGCGUACCUUUUGUAUAAUGGGUCAGCGACUUAUAUUUUGUAGCAAGGUUAACCGUAUAGGGGAGCCGUAGGGAAACCGAGUCUUAACUGGGCGAAUAGUUGCAAGGUAUAGACCCGAAACCCGGUGAUCUAGCCAUGGGCAGGUUGAAGGUUGGGUAACACUAACUGGAGGACCGAACCGACUAAUGUUGAAAAAUUAGCGGAUGACUUGUGGCUGGGGGUGAAAGGCCAAUCAAACCGGGAGAUAGCUGGUUCUCCCCGAAAGCUAUUUAGGUAGCGCCUCGUGAACUCAUCUUCGGGGGUAGAGCACUGUUUCGGCUAGGGGGCCAUCCCGGCUUACCAAACCGAUGCAAACUCCGAAUACCGAAGAAUGUUAUCACGGGAGACACACGGCGGGUGCUAACGUCCGUCGUGAAGAGGGAAACAACCCAGACCGCCAGCUAAGGUCCCAAAGUCAUGGUUAAGUGGGAAACGAUGUGGGAAGGCACAGACAGCCAGGAUGUUGGCUUAGAAGCAGCCAUCAUUUAAAGAAAGCGUAAUAGCUCACUGGUCGAGUCGGCCUGCGCGGAAGAUGUAACGGGGCUAAACCAUGCACCGAAGCUGCGGCAGCGACGCUUAGGCGUUGUUGGGUAGGGGAGCGUUCUGUAAGCCGUUGAAGGUGGCCUGUGAGGGUUGCUGGAGGUAUCAGAAGUGCGAAUGCUGACAUAAGUAACGAUAAAGCGGGUGAAAAGCCCGCUCGCCGGAAGACCAAGGGUUCCUGUCCAACGUUAAUCGGGGCAGGGUGAGUCGACCCCUAAGGCGAGGCUGAAAAGCGUAGUCGAUGGGAAACAGGUUAAUAUUCCUGUACUUGGUGUUACUGCGAAGG